rnacentral:rRNA from 1 species
UACGGGGGGGGGCAAGCGUUGUUCGGAAUUACUGGGCGUAAAGGGUUCGUAGGUGGCCCGCUAAGUCACACGUGAAAUCCCUCAGCUUAACUGGGGAACUGCGUGUGAGACUGGCAGGCUUGAGUGCAGGAGAGGAACGCGGAAUUCCAGGUGUAGCGGUGAAAUGCGUAGAUAUCUGGAGGAACACCGGUGGCGAAGGCGGCGUUCUGGACUGCAACUGACACUGAGGAACGAAAGCCAGGGGAGCAAACGGG